UAGCGUUUGAUAUUCUCUCCUUCAAGUUAUUCAUGGCAAGCUUUGCACCAUUUUUCUUGCAUGUUGGAAUACCCUUAAUAAGGAUAACAGAAGAACUUCCCUUUCCUAAUUUCUGAGGUAAUCUGGAGAAAGGAAACCUGGAUGAAUU